CAUGGCUCAGAUUGAACGCUGGCGGCAUGCCUUACACAUGCAAGUCGAACGGUAACAGGUCUUCGGACGCUGACGAGUGGCGAACGGGUGAGUAAUACAUCGGAACGUGCCCAGUCGUGGGGGAUAACUACUCGAAAGAGUAGCUAAUACCGCAUACGAUCUGAGGAUGAAAGCGGGGGACCUUCGGGCCUCGCGCGAUUGGAGCGGCCGAUGGCAGAUUAGGUAGUUGGUGGGAUAAAAGCUUACCAAGCCGACGAUCUGUAGCUGGUCUGAGAGGACGACCAGCCACACUGGGACUGAGACACGGCCCAGACUCCUACGG
rnacentral:rRNA from 1 species